rnacentral:lncRNA from 1 species
GAUUGUGACUGUUUGAAUUGUGUGAUCUCUCAGGAAUGUUCUGUUAAGCUCCGCCCCCUCACAAGAAGGUUCUGUAUAACAAAGGAUAAUAUUCCCUUUAUAACCAAGCCAUGGUGAGAAGGAAGUGAGACAAUAAUGUGAGCUUCCAUGGCAGCACUGGGAGUCUGUGAUGUACAAAGACGAUACCAGGUAUUGGGGAGACAUAGAUGGCCAGUCUACACCGAUUCCUUUCCUAAAAAUUCCAUUUGCUUCAUCAAGAGUACAUGGUAGUGUCUUCAUCAGAAAUGUGUGCAACUCAUUUUGAUCCAAAACUCCAGGAACUGAAAAAAAAAAACCAAAAAACAACCGUUGUCUAACACCACUGAGCAAUUGGAGGACAAGGACAGGACCUGACAGCACAUGCUAUCCCUUGGAAAGGGGAAGUCCUUCUGGAAUUGAUGUCGGGAAAGACCACAGCCCAGGACAGACCGACAGUCCUCCCGGAGUCUUCUGGCCCGGAGCGGCACUCGCUUUUGUCCGAGCUGGCGUUCAGGUGAGAGCACCGGGAGGGACACACAGAUGCCGUGAUCACAGCGGGGUCUGGGCUCCUGGGAGCAGGCUGGGCGCGUGAGAAUCGGCCGCUCCCCAG